rnacentral:rRNA from 1 species
UGGCGGCCGUAGCGCGGUGGUCCCACCUGACCCCAUGCCGAACUCAGAAGUGAAACGCCGUAGCGCCGAUGGUAGUGUGGGGUUUCCCCAUGCGAGAGUAGGGAACUGCCAGGC